rnacentral:rRNA from 1 species
AACGAGCGCUGGCGGCAUGCCUAACACAUGCCAGUCGAACGAGACUUUCGGGUCUAGUGGCGCACGGGUUCGUAACGCGUGGGAACCUGCCCUUAGGUUCGGAAUAACUCCCCGAAAGGGGUGCUAAUACCGGAUAAUGUCUUCGGACCAAAGAUUUAUCGCCUUUGGAUGGGCCCGCGUUGGAUUAGCUAGUUGGUAGGGUAAAAGCCUACCAAGGCGACGAUCCAUAGCUGGUCUGAGAGGAUGAUCAGCCACACUGGGACUGAGACACGGCCCAGAAUCCUACGGGAGGCAGCAGUGGGGAAUAGUGGACAAUGGGCGAAAGCCUGAUCCAGCAAUGCCGCGUGAGUGAUGAAGGCCUUAGGGUUGUAAAGCUCUUUUACCCGGGAUGAUAAUGACAGUACCGGGAGAAUAAGCUCCGGCUAACUCCGUG